ACAAAAUCCGCAAUCACUUAGUUGUCAACCCAAUAUAUUGAAGCUUAUUAAUAUAACGAAUUAAAUGUUUAAAUACUUUUGUUACCCUUCGAAAUACAUAUAUAUAUUUGCACUAAAUAAUCUUGUAGCUGUUAUGUACAUUUUCACAUUUGUUUGAAGUUUUAGUAAUAUAAUCAUAAUGAUCCAUUCUCUCAUAACAAUGCUAAUGAAAUUUCAAAUGUUUUACAUUUCAUACAACACAUAUAAUAAUUCAUUAAAAAAUUCUAGAAGUGUUCAAAGAUUUUUGUAAACGAUUGUAUGUAAAUUCAGAUUGCCCAGAGCUGAUCUAGAAAGAAACUAUCGAAGUAUUAAACUCUUUCAACCGAUAAAAAUUUCCAUUUAUCAACAUUGAUACUCUUCCAAAGAAAAGAGAAAUAUUCUAAGGGCAAACUUAAUAUUCUAAUUCGAAGAGUUUUGAUAAUAAUAAUUCUGAUCAAGCGUACUACACGUGAAAAAUAUACAAACGUUUAAUAAUAGUUAAGUGAUAUAAAACAAUUUGAAAGGGUGAUGAAAUAUGACGAUAUAUUUGCUAAGAUUUCGUAGGAUUCGUUUGACCAAUUUCAUUCUAAUUUCUCGACUAUUAGUCUUUUUUUAUGAUUAUUAUUCGUUAAUUAGGCAAACAAUGGUCGUCAACGGCGAAAGGUAUUCGUGUCGACCAAUAAAUUAAAUAAACCUAACAUUCUUUGUCCGUGAAUCACUGAGAAACGCAAUCCUAUUAUAUGACUAAUCUUUGUUUGACGUACGUGUCACUGAAUGAAGCUUCGCGAAAUAUGUAAUUGUCUCGCACACGUUGAAACUAAAACUAGUUGGGAACGAGUGUGAAUAACAAAACAGUGAUCGACAGAAAGCUUAGCCUUUUCAAUGGCUUAAAUUUUAAAUAUUAGCCUUGGCUCGAUUUCAUUAAUUCGACAGUUAUCGGCACGUUUGCAACAAUUACGAAGAACAGGAGUGUAUAGGAAAACGAACAUAUGGAGGGAGAGAAGAAAGGAGGGAGUGAAGAGAGAGAAUGGCAAGCGAAUGAACGCACUACACAUUCAGAAUUUUCCGUCGAAAAUCAACCAAUGUAUAUGUAUUAUACGCAUAAAUCUCUUUUCGAGAACACUCCAAUGUUCUAUACUUGCUCGUUUCUACAGGUCACACGACAGUAACGAGGAAGAAGGGAGGCCAGUAGUCAGGCCGGCUGACUGUGUUUGUUGGGGCCUUUCUCACCCGACGGAGAGGUAAAAGAGAGGAUGGCAACAGAGAGAGCAGCUGCCACUGAGAAAACGGACGGUUACCGAAUGAUUUCAACUACUGCCGGCUUGGCGUUUCUUACUCCUCGUUACCCGCUUUUACAGAUGAUUCUCCUUU